AGGACGAACGCUGGCGGCGUGCCUAACACAUGCAAGUCGAACGAGGUCCAACCGGUAGCAAUACCGGUGAAGACCAAGUGGCGAACGGGUGAGUAGCACGUGAGCAACCUACCCCGAAGACCGGGACAACACCGGGAAACCGGUGCUAAUACCGGAUGUCCCCACCGAGUCGCAUGGCUUGGUGAGGAAAUGGAUUCCGCUUCGGGAGGGGCUCGCGGCCUAUCAGCUAGUUGGUGAGGUAACGGCUCACCAAGGCUUCGACGGGUAGCUGGUCUGAGAGGACGAUCAGCCACACUGGGACUGAGACACGGCCCAGACUCCUACGGGAGGCCGCAGUGGGGAAUCUUGCACAAUGGGCGAAAGCCUGAUGCAGCAACGCCGCGUGAGGGACGAAGGCUUUCUGAGUUGUAAACCUCUUUCAGCAGGGACGAUGAUGACGGUACCUGCAGAAGAGCCCGGACCAACUACGUGCCAGCAGCCGCGGU
rnacentral:rRNA from 1 species